rnacentral:rRNA from 1 species
AACGAACGCUGGCGGCAUGCCUAACACAUGCAAGUCGAACGAGACCUUCGGGUCUAGUGGCGCACGGGUGCGUAACGCGUGGGAACCUGCCCUUAGGUUCGGAAUAACCCCCCGAAAGGGGUGCUAAUACCGGAUAAUGUCUUCGGACCAAUGAUUUAUCGCCUUUGGAUGGGCCCGCGUUGGAUUAGCUAGUUGGUAGGGUAAAAGCCUACCAAGGCGACGAUCCAUAGCUGGUCUGAGAGGAUGAUCAGCCACACUGGGACUGAGACACGGCCCAGACUCCUACGGGAGGCAGCAGUGGGGAAUAUUGGACAAUGGGCGAAAGCCUGAUCCAGCAAUGCCGCGUGAGUGAUGAAGGCCUUAGGGUUGUAAAGCUCUUUUACCCGGGAUGAUAAUGACAGUACCGGGAGAAUAAGCUCCGGCUAACUCCGUG